CAUGCAUUUACAUGACUAUUUAUUAACACAUUUACUAAGGGACAGUACUACAGGGUAUUAGAAUGACAUUACAUUUUUCUGUGUUAGGGAGGAGUAAACCACCAGCAACACUCUCAAAACCAGACCGGCCUGAUGAAUAUAGUGCUACUGCAUCUCCACGGCCAGUGAGGGUUCCUUUGCCAGUACCUCCAGAGUUGCUUGAAUUAUCUACAAACAAGACCACAUCGCCUUUGAGACCAGUGCAGGAAACUGUGUUCUGUCAGUCCCUCCUCCCAGUGACCUCUGCACAGUCUACAGCCUCUACUCCUCCCUCAGGACCCCCCGCAGUUGCUGGCCAGUCUUUCUCUGGAUUCCCUGCAGCCACUACUGGGUACCCCUCAACUCAGUUGGAGGAGAAGCAUGCUGUUCCACCACUGCCAAGCUAUGAGCAGGAUGUGAUAAGAUGGCACUGCUCUCAAAAGCAGAGAAUCUGGAUGAAAACAGAUAUGGAAGCCUUGGGACUGUGGCCAGGUUCUAGACCAGUGAGACAUCCAAUGAACAUGAUCUCCUUGUGGCGUUACCCACCUCAGCCUGAGCUUAUUGAUGUGGUCUAUGAGCUGCCAUCACCUAAAUACUUUCAACUUCAUCCAUUCUUCAUUUGGAAACCAGAGCACACCAUUAUGGAAAGAGUCCGCAACAACUACACUCUUCCAUGUCUGUACGGC
rnacentral:lncRNA from 1 species